rnacentral:rRNA from 1 species
UACGUAGGGGGCAAGCGUUAUCCGGAUUUACUGGGUGUAAAGGGAGCGUAGACGGCACGGCAAGCCAGAUGUGAAAGCCCGGGGCUCAACCCCGGGACUGCAUUUGGAACUGCUGAGCUAGAGUGUCGGAGAGGCAAGUGGAAUUCCUAGUGUAGCGGUGAAAUGCGUAGAUAUUAGGAGGAACACCAGUGGCGAAGGCGGCUUGCUAGACGAUGACUGACGUUGAGGCUCGAAAGCGUGGGGAGCAAACAGG